rnacentral:rRNA from 1 species
UGCAUAUCCAAAAAGCGGAGGAAAAGAAACCAACAGGGAUUGCCUCAGUAGCGGCGAGUGAAGCGGCAAGAGCUCAGAUUUGAAAUCGUGCUUUGCGGCACGAGUUGUAGAUUGCAGGUUGGAGUCUGUGUGGAAGGCGGUGUCCAAGUCCCUUGGAACAGGGCGCCCAGGAGGGUGAGAGCCCCGUGGGAUGCCGGCGGAAGCAGUGAGGCCCUUCUGACGAGUCGAGUUGUUUGGGAAUGCAGCUCCAAGCGGGUGGUAAAUUCCAUCUAAGGCUAAAUACUGGCGAGAGACCGAUAGCGAACAAGUACUGUGAAGGAAAGAUGAAAAGCACUUUGAAAAGAGAGUGAAACAGCACGUGAAAUUGUUGAAAGGGAAGGGUAUUGCGCCCGACAUGGGGAUUGCGCACCGCUGCCUCUCGUGGGCGGCGCUCUGGGCUUUCCCUGGGCCAGCAUCGGUUCUUGCUGCAGGAGAAGGGGUUCUGGAACGUGGCUCUUCGGAGUGUUAUAGCCAGGGCCAGAUGCUGCGUGCGGGGACCGAGGACUGCGGCCGUGUAGUCACGGAUGCUCUUGCCGUACGG